CAUUUUUAUUUGCCUACUGGUAUCAUUGGGGGCCUAUAAAGAUAUCCUACUACGCGUGAACCAAUAUCCAACAUUGUCAACUAACCGGCCGUCCCUAUACCCCAUCUGAUAUGAGCGUAAAAAAUAUCAUCCCUUAAUACCCCAUCCGAUAUUAUGGUGAAUCGACCCGUCCCCAUACCACGUCCAGUAUAAGCGCUAAAA
rnacentral:lncRNA from 1 species